AUUCAGUUUGGUUCGACAGACGUGCAGGCCGGAAAANUUAGUAAGGNUUCCCCNAGCGGGGCCUGUCCGGUCGCAUUAAGCUCUGUUGUGCCANACGCAUUUGUCUCUCGUCCNAAGNACGNUUCAGCCGGCUGGGUAGUGCAAGCGCGACGGCCUNAGGGGCGGGAGAUGGCAGGUGGCCGGUGGCGUNCNUUGUGCGCGUCGCCGGUUGUUAGCCGUCCNGUCAGUGGCUCGUCACCCGGCCGAGGUGUCGCUAGGCCCGAGUGGCCUNAUCGUCUCCUCCCCAUGGAAGUCGGGACAGAGUGCUGCAGGUGGAGAACGUCGUCCUGUUCGCACCCUUCUGGGGUGGUCGGGCGAACGGUCUCCGCCGUUGGUGGCGCCGGGCCCGUCGGAGGUUGGAGGCUUGCAGCGAGUAGGUCGGUCACCCACCCGACCCGGUCUUGAAACACGGACCAAGGAGUCUAACAUGUGCGCGAGUCAAUGGGUCUUGAAUAGGCCCAGAGGCGUAAUGAAAGCAAAGGCCGGUUUCACAUNGGCUGAGUUGGGAUCCCCUGUCAUGGGGGCGCACCAACGACCCGUCCUAUCCGGCUCGCCGGUUGGGCGGAGUGUGAGCGUAUACGUUGGGUCCCGAAAGAUGGUGAACUAUGCCCGGACAGGACGAGGCCAGAGGAAACUCUGGUGGAGGUCCGCAGCGGUUCUGACGUGCAAAU
rnacentral:rRNA from 1 species